UGUUGCUUGCAAGGGCGUAUGGUGGAUGCCUUGGCAGACAGGACCGAUGAAGGACGUUUGAGGCUGCGAUAUGCCUCGGGGAGCCGCCAACAGGGCUUUGAUCCGAGGAUUUCCGAAUGGGGGAACCCACCGACCGUCAUGGGUCGGUACCGGCUUCGGCCGGGGGGUACGCAGGGAAGUGAAACAUCUCAGUACCUGCAGGAAAGGAUAUUCCGUGAGUAGUGGCGAGCGAAAGCGGAUGAUGGCCAAACCUUGCGCGUGUGAUACCCGUCGGGGGUUGCGCGCGGGGUGUUGCGGGAUCGCGUGCGCCGGCUCCGACGGGCCGGCCGGCAGUUUUAGAAAACCAUGUGUCAGGGGAACCGGGUUGAAUACCGGGCCGCAGAGGGUGAGGGCCCCGUACCUGAACGCGCAUGGUCUGCCGAUCGCGUCUCCCAAGUAGCACGGGUCCCGUGGAACCCCGUGCGAAUCCGCCCAGACCGUUGGGUAAGCCUGAAUAUUCCUGUCUGACCGAUAGCGAACGAGUACCGUGAGGGAAAGGUGAAAAGUACCCCGGGAGGGGAGUGAAACAGUCUCUGAAACCGUGCGCCUACAAUCCGUCGGAGCCCUUUUGUGGGGUGACGGCGUGCCUAUCGAAAAAUGAGUCUGCGAGUCAGUGGCAUGUGGCGAGCAUAACCCGUGUGGGGUAUGCGUAGCGAAGGCGAGUCUUAAAAGGCGUUUGAGUCGCGUGUCCUGGACCCGAAGCGGGAUGAUCUAGCCCUGAGCAGGUUGAAGCGCGGGUAAGACCGCGUGGAGGACCGAACCCACCUGGGUUGAAAACCGGGGGGAUGACUUGGGGCUAGGGGUGAAAGGCCAAUCAAAUUCCGUGAUAGCUGGUUCUCUCCGAAAUGCAUUUGGGUGCAGCGUCGGGUCAUUACGUCCCGGGGGUAGAGCUACUGGAUGCUUGCGGGCCCGUAUCGGGUACCAACAGCAACCAAACUCCGAAUACCGGUGACGCGUAUCCCGGCAGUGAGUCGGCGGGGGAUAAGCUUCGUCGUCGAAAGGGAAACAGCCCAGACCGUCGUCUAAGGUCCCGAAGCGUGUGCUAAGUGGGAAAGGAUGUGGAGUCGCAUAGACAGCCAGGAGGUUGGCUCAGAAGCAGCCACCCUUGAAAGAGUGCGUAACAGCUCACUGGUCUAGUGGUUCCGCGCCGACAAUGU
rnacentral:rRNA from 1 species